AGCCAACCUGCAAAACCAGAAAUAGAGUCAGCAAAAGUGUGUGUGUGUGUGUGUAUGAAAGAGAGAGAGAGAGAGAGAGAGAGAGACAUCAGCUUGUCCUUAGGAAGUCGAAGUUGCUCUUCAAUAAGUUUAAUAGAGACUCCCCCUUCCGAUGCACUGAAACAUCAGUACCAGAAAGUUGAGAUGUGAAUGCCAUUAUGCCAGACAAGUCUCCAUGUAUCAAGAGAAUAUAUGGAAGGUUAUCCAAUUCAUACCAGAACGGAUACCAGCAAAAGUCAAGCCAGAGACUUAACUUUUCGACCCAGUCACGUGACAGGAUUAUAUGCAUGCAUCACAUGCACAAACAACAGAUAUUCAAACAAAACAAAGGCACCAGGGAGAUAGGCAUAUGGUCAACAAGACCUGAUCAAAUAAUAUAUCAAAAUAACUUUCAAAAGAUCACCUGUGUGGGGGAAGAUGCAAAAAAUCCAGGACCAUUUCUUCGAACCUCGGCUGACCAUUGUUAUGCUGACCAGAGAACUACAAUUAAAAUCCAGCAAACCACUGAGGAGACCAUAUAAAAAUGAAGUGCAAACUGAAAAUCUAUGGUCCAUUAUCUUACUUGAUUUGGUGGGAGAACCUGGUAACCUUUUGUGGGUGUUAUUGGUGUUGAAUUUGUAACAUGUUGCUGGUUAGGCACAGCAGCC